rnacentral:snRNA from 1 species
AGCUUAAGAUCAAUGAUGGUGAC